AAUUUCAGAAGAUAAAUAUCUUCUGUUAACGCAUCUAAUCCAGAUUUUAGAGUUUAUAACUCUGUAUAAUCGUGGUUCAAAACCACUCAUCUCUAAAAGGUACCUUUCUAAACUGUAUACCCAUCCAUAUUAAGAGAGAGACUCCGGAUCUGUUCUCAGUGGGCUAGGUUCUUCGUUCCUUGCUGGAGGCAAGAGGAGUGCCGCCGUGUUUGGGAGCGGGCUUGAAACUGGAGCUGUAAGAGUUGGCCGGAAAACUCUGAUUGUCGCGUCUGUGGCUUCUCAGUCCAAAAAAUCUUGGAUCCCCGCCGUUAAAGGGGGCAACAACUUCCUUGAUUCUGAAUGGCUUGAUGGCUCCAGGAAAUGUUGUUUGAAAUGAGCUUGAUGGUCUGCAGUCACACUUUUGGAAAUCUCAAUUGCUUUCAUUGUACUGGCAGUAGUAGCAUCCUUACAA